AUAAAAGUGUCCAGGGGCGGGAAUCGAACCCACGACCUUCCGCUUACCGGGCAGAUGCCAUGUACACUGGACACUUUUA